rnacentral:rRNA from 1 species
GAGAGCCGUGAGCGUGGGCCCAUAACUUCGGAACAUGGUACCCGGGCCACCGUUAGAGUUUGGUAUCAGGCUCAGGACGAACGCUGGCGGCGUGCCUAAUACAUGCAAGUCGAGCGGACAGAAGGGAGCUUGCUCCCGGAUGUUAGCGGCGGACGGGUGAGUAACACGUGGGUAACCUGCCUGUAAGACUGGGAUAACUCCGGGAAACCGGAGCUAAUACCGGAUAGUUCCUUGAACCGCAUGGUUCAAGGAUGAAAGACGGUUUCGGCUGUCACUUACAGAUGGACCCGCGGCGCAUUAGCUAGUUGGUGGGGUAAUGGCUCACCAAGGCGACGAUGCGUAGCCGACCUGAGAGGGUGAUCGGCCACACUGGGACUGAGACACGGCCCAGACUCCUACGGGAGGCAGCAGUAGGGAAUCUUCCGCAAUGGACGAAAGUCUGACGGAGCAACGCCGCGUGAGUGAUGAAGGUUUUCGGAUCGUAAAGCUCUGUUGUUAGGGAAGAACAAGUGCGAGAGUAACUGCUCGCACCUUGACGGUACCUAACCAGAAAGCCACGGCUAACUACGUGCCAGCAGCCGCGGUAAUACGUAGGUGGCAAGCGUUGUCCGGAAUUAUUGGGCGUAAAGGGCUCGCAGGCGGUUUCUUAAGUCUGAUGUGAAAGCCCCCGGCUCAACCGGGGAGGGUCAUUGGAAACUGGGAAACUUGAGUGCAGAAGAGGAGAGUGGAAUUCCACGUGUAGCGGUGAAAUGCGUAGAGAUGUGGAGGAACACCAGUGGCGAAGGCGACUCUCUGGUCUGUAACUGACGCUGAGGAGCGAAAGCGUGGGGAGCGAACAGGAUUAGAUACCCUGGUAGUCCACGCCGUAAACGAUGAGUGCUAAGUGUUAGGGGGUUUCCGCCCCUUAGUGCUGCAGCUAACGCAUUAAGCACUCCGCCUGGGGAGUACGGUCGCAAGACUGAAACUCAAAGGAAUUGACGGGGGCCCGCACAAGCGGUGGAGCAUGUGGUUUAAUUCGAAGCAACGCGAAGAACCUUACCAGGUCUUGACAUCCUCUGACAACCCUAGAGAUAGGGCUUUCCCUUCGGGGACAGAGUGACAGGUGGUGCAUGGUUGUCGUCAGCUCGUGUCGUGAGAUGUUGGGUUAAGUCCCGCAACGAGCGCAACCCUUGAUCUUAGUUGCCAGCAUUCAGUUGGGCACUCUAAGGUGACUGCCGGUGACAAACCGGAGGAAGGUGGGGAUGACGUCAAAUCAUCAUGCCCCUUAUGACCUGGGCUACACACGUGCUACAAUGGACAGAACAAAGGGCUGCAAGACCGCAAGGUUUAGCCAAUCCCAUAAAUCUGUUCUCAGUUCGGAUCGCAGUCUGCAACUCGACUGCGUGAAGCUGGAAUCGCUAGUAAUCGCGGAUCAGCAUGCCGCGGUGAAUACGUUCCCGGGCCUUGUACACACCGCCCGUCACACCACGAGAGUUUGCAACACCCGAAGUCGGUGAGGUAACCUUUAUGGAGCCAGCCGCCGAAGGUGGGGCAGAUGAUUGGGGUGAAGUCGUCAAGGGGUAACCAAAAGU